rnacentral:snoRNA from 1 species
CAGUGGAGCACCGUGGAAGCCUCACCCAAGAAGUCAGCAGGGCUUCAGUUAGCUCACGUCAUGGGUGCUUCCAGACGUUA